ACACACAUCAUUUUCCCAGGACCCAGAGUCUCCGAAGCCACUGGUGCCAUGCAGGCGUUGUGAAACAUCCACCAUGGCUGUUCCGUUUCCGAAGAAAUGCGACUGCAUGCUGCAAACUAAGGACAAAAAUCUUCUGUUUGCAUUAAGUGGUUUUCUCUGGGAGAGAAACAGUCAGAGAGGCCACAACAGUGCGGCAAGUGGAGAAGAGCCAAAAACCAGGGGGUGGAGAGAGAAUGAGAGAAAGAUGGACAGAAAAGGACACAGAGAAUGAAGGAGCUGAAAGAAGGCAAGAGAAGGAAAAUAUUAAAUCCCUGCAAUCUGAACACUUUCACUGUAUGAAGUUGCAUCGUUUAUCAAAGUUCCUUCUUCAUCUCCUUCACUUUGUUCUUUUUUUCCCUCCACAUGUUGUUUAUCAGUGUAUCCCAUUUUUUUUGCAUUUGAAAGGUGAAAGAAAUUACUUGCUGAA